UACGUAGGGUGCAAGCGUUAAUCGGAAUUACUGGGCGUAAAGCGUGCGCAGGCGGUUAUGUAAGACAGUUGUGAAAUCCCCGGGCUCAACCUGGGAACUGCAUCUGUGACUGCAUAGCUAGAGUACGGUAGAGGGGGGAUGGAAUUCCGCGUGUAGCAGUGAAAUGCGUAGAUAUGCGGAGGAACACCGAUGGCGAAGGCAAUCCCCUGGACCUGUACUGACGCUCAUGC
rnacentral:rRNA from 1 species